rnacentral:rRNA from 1 species
GAGAAUGCCGGGACGGUGGCGGGGGUAAUGUGGGGGAGGGUGAGGUGUGUCGGAGGUACGGGGCGGAAAGCGUGCGUAGGCGGCUUUGUAAUUUAGAGGUGAAAGCCCGGAGCUCAACUCCGGAACUGCCUUUAAGACUGCAUCGCUAGAAUCAUGGAGAGGUGAGUGGAAUUCCGAGUGUAGAGGUGAAAUUCGUAGAUAUUCGGAAGAACACCAGUGGCGAAGGCGACUCACUGGACAUGUAUUGACGCUGAGGUGCGAAAGCGUGGGGAGCAAACAGGAUUAGAUACCCGAGUAGUC